rnacentral:rRNA from 1 species
GGCCCCGCCUGCCCGGUGACUCACUGUUUAACGGCCGCGGUAUCCUGACCGUGCGAAGGUAGCGCAAUAACUUGUCUUUUAAAUGGGGACUAGUAUGAAUGGCUCCACGAGGGCUUAUCUGUCUCCUCUUUCAGGUCAAUGAAAUUGAUCUUCCCGUGCAAAAGCGGGAAUAAACACAUAAGACGAGAAGACCCUGUGGAGCUUUAGACACCAAGACAGCUCACGUUAAAAGUACCCCUACAAAGGACAAAACCAAGAGAAGCCUGCCCUAAUGUCUUUGGUUGGGGCGACCGCGGAGUAGAAGAAAACCUCCCUCUGCAUGGAACAAGGGUAAAAUUUAUGCCCUUUAAACCAAGAGCGACAGCUCGAACUAACAGAACCAUCUGACCUUAAAGAUCCGGCCCACUGCCGAUCAACGAAUCAAGUUACCCCAGGGAUAACAGCGCAAUCCCCUUUUAGAGCCCAUAUCGACAAGGGGGUUUACGACCUCGAUGUUGGAUCAGGACAUCCUAAUGGUGCAGCCGCUAUUAAGGGUUCGUUUGUUCAACGAUUAAAGUCCUACGUGAUC